GGAAGCCUGAGGACUGCCUCUGCUGCGGGCAGCGGCGCCGGGAGAAAGCGCAGAGUUGGCCACGGGGCGCAGAGAUGCUGAACCCACACGCCCUGCCCGUCCACCUGGAGCAAGCCCUGGCAACUUUAUUUUGGGCAAAGCCUUCCAAGGAAACUUUUCCUCUGUCCACAGCUCUCGCCCUAGCCAGGCCGGCCUCGGGCAGGGCACAGGGGUGAGGAGCAGCCUGGGGCGGGACACGGUCGCCUGCGCGGUCCCCUCGGAGCCACGGGGAGGCCACUCACCAGCCCGAGCGCGAAGAAGACGGCGAGCAGGGCGAGGCAGGCGCCCAUGACGAUGAGCAGCAGGAAGACGAUGAGAGGGUGCUGCUGGCUCAUGCAGUAGUAGGACUCGUAGAGCCAGUCCCGGGACCGCUGCAGCCCCUCGCCGCCGCCCGCCGCCGCUGCUGCCGCCGCCUCGGCGCGGUCCCGCAGAUGACAGGACUAACCACUGACCUUCAAAAGACUGCUUCUAGAAGGUUCCUAUUUUCCUGUCCUUCCAUCCAAAGAACCCACAAGCCAUUUUUCUCCCCCAAAUCAUUUUCUAAGGAGUCCAAAACACAACACCGCCUCAAGAGCUAUUCCACAUUCUCUGUCAGCCCGGAACUGCCUUAGACCUUUGCAUGUUCCCUGACAGCAGCCUGCCUACCUGAGUUGCAAGCCAGCCAGCAUGAACAGAUCCAGUUGGAUUAGUUCAGUCAAUAAGGGUGUUGUCAUACUCCUCCCAAUGUCCACAGAGUCCACAAUGAUUAAAUAAAGGCAAGCCAGGAAGCACACCAAGGACAGAGGUGGACACGUGCCAGCCAACACAGGAAUACAGGUUCUUCUUGUGCAUCCUGGGAUGAUUUGGAAGCAACUACGCAGCCCACAUUGACCUCAAGCUUUUUCUCCUCUUCCUCUGCCUCA
rnacentral:lncRNA from 1 species